AUUAAAUCAGAAUCGAGAGGGGGACUGCAGGUCGAGAUUGCUCACAAACCCAGAAUUAUGCUCUGCUUUCCCCAAUCAGAAGUUUCUUUGGAACAAAGUGAAUGUUCUGGUUGGGCAAACAAGCCCUUCUCACCAGGCCUUGGACAGCGGCUCGUGCCAAUUCUGGCCUCAAAUGCCAGCCAGCUUUGGAAAUUAGACUGGUCUUCUGCAAGCCCUGGCGGGGAGUACGAGCGCUGGUUUGUGAGGUGUGGAAAGCCAAUCUGCUUAUGGCACAAGACUUCCGGAUAACCGCAGCCAAGUGCAGAGAGGGAAAAACAGCCUCCAAGGUAACCAGGGUGUAGCCAAGAAAGAACAAGGCUGCCACCCAACCUUGACUCUGCCUCCCCCGGGCUGGCCAGGCCCCUGAGGGGACAUAAGGAGACGUGGUCCGGGCACAGGACCUGUGAGAUUGGAGACUGAAACUGGCCUUUUGAGAGAACAGGACCAAAGCCAGAAACUCCCAGAGACACUCGAGAUGGCUCGUUUUCCCAGAGGGAGGCCCAUGUCACCUCCUGAGCCACCGCGAGCUGCUGUUAUUGUCACAUUUCAGAAAUGCAUGGAAA
ensembl:lncRNA